rnacentral:rRNA from 1 species
CGCCCGGGUGAGUAACACGUAUGCAACCUGCCUGCCACAGCCGGAUAAUCGGGAGAAAUUCCGUCUAAUACGGCAUAAUGCAUCGACGGGACAUCCUGUUGGUGCCAAAGGUUGAUUCCGGUGGCGGAUGGGCAUGCGUCGCAUUAGUUAGUUGGCGGUGUAACGGACCACCAAGACGACGAUGCGUAGGGGUUCUGAGAGGAAGGUCCCCCACACUGGUACUGAGACACGGACCAGACUCCUACGGAAGGCAGCAG